UUUUCCCACUUGGUUCAGGCAGGUGCAGGACAGCACCCAUGGGUGAGCCAUGUGCCAGGGUCACGCACAGCUCCUGCUUUGGCUGCUCUGAGGGAGCAGCCAGCCAGCCGGCAGCAAGCAGGGAAGUGAUCCAUAUUAAAAACAGCUGCUAGAAGACUGGGGGAGAAGAGUAGUCAGUCAGGGUCAUGGCCCUCAUCUAUUUCACCACUGAAACAGUAAUCGUAAAGGAAAGAAAAUAAUGUAUUGCUCACCUCUCCUUGCAAUCUCCAUUUCACAGUUUCCUCCAGUUCCACUUAAAAGCCUGAGCAAUAAAUUGACCCAACCCCAGCCCAUGCAGCCUCCCACCACUCCUCUAAAGAUGGAUGUGGUCCAGCUUUUAUCAUACUGAAGGACGUCAAAGUAGUUUUUGAAGAAGGGAAAAAGAGGGAGGGAAAGAAAAA